ACCAGUAUUACAAAUACCAAUAUUUCUUGUUCUACUACUAGUAUUACUUCCAUCACCACCACCACCCAGCUCUUACUGAUCAUUGUGGCGGAGAUGUGUACUAUAUGUUAAUUUCUCUCCGGCAGCAGCUGCAAAUAAAGAGAUAUUUUUUAUCAGGCACAUUAUGCAACACCGUAAUGUCUGUACACACUGAACUGAAAAUGUUGGCCUCGCAUUCAUUUUUGUCUUAGUGAUCUUGUGACACAUUAUGCCAACUGCACACAUUCCGCUACCGCGAGUGAACAGCUUUCCUUGAUGACGAGGACGAUUUCUUUUCUUUUCUUUUGGGAUAUGAACAGAUCUAGAAAAGCCGGACCGUUGCUGUACUGUAUUACAGAUAAUAUAUAUUUUAACGAUAUAUGCAAGGGUUAUGGUUGGUCAGAUGUCCAGAAGGAGAUGCUCUUUAGAAAAAAAACCAUAAAUCCACUUUCUUCAAAACAGAGGGCAAGGGAACGCAGGAAUUAUUGAGUCAUUACUGGAACAUGUCAUGAUGAAAGAGACAACAAACACAACACACACACACAUUCAUUCGAAAGGCAAACACGUUCAUAAGAACAACUUCGCUCAUGCUCUCACUCGCUGUUCCUCAUAAUCUCUCUCUCUCUCUCACACACACACACACAUACACACACAUUGUGCAUUCCGCUGCCCUCGGUCACACAUGAGUACGUUAGUGUGUCUCUCUCUAUGUGCGAGCCUUUUGUUCGGGGCUUUAGCUCGACCCGGCAGAUCUAAGACGGAUCAGGACACUGGAGCGGGGGGCAAAAGGGUGCAAGAGAGGACGUGGUCGGAACACCGGUGCCCCAUAACCGCUAUCCACAAACACACGCACAGAGAAAAACACUUUUACAUGCAACAUUUUCCAUAGUGUGGGUGAACACUGUAGUGGCACAUCUGGUUUCGGGGUUCAGGGAGCAGUCCGUAAGAGAGGGUGACCUGUUAGACCUGUAAGAGAGGGUGUGCUCAGAAUGGUCAAUGAGGGCGGGUCCACAGGUGACACAAAGUGAACGGAAGCUGAAACAAGCUGGCCAAGGCUAAAAAACUUUCUCCUGCCAGCAGGGCCACUGUAAUUACAGUUUUUUUUUUCCAAUAUUACAACCCCUGCCAGAGUGCUAAUACUGCCACUGCAACUCCCAACUGCUACCGCCGGCGGCCUCGAAUAAUGCUGAUCCUGUCGCGUGGCAGCUGCUGCAUUGAGGGGCCAAUUCUGAGGAGUGUAAGAAACAAGGCGUCCACUGUAAGAGAGUCUGGAUCUGAGCGACUUUCACUGAGGCUGUGCACUGUACAACACAAAUGAGCCGCCUCUGUCGGCGAGCCCCCAACAAUGCCACUCAGCAAACUUGUAUGGGUGUGUGCGUGUGUGUGUGUGUGUGUUGAGGCUUGGUUUAACUCUCAGGGGAAUUUGUGCGCUCACGCCUAAGCAGAAAAAUAAUGUGAGGAUGUCUGGUGGUUUUCUGAGGCACUCUUGUUUUCUCUGAAGCUGCAAGUAGAUUUUUGCCGGUCGCGUCGUCAUAAUGCAGCGAAUAAGCGACAUCCUGUCACACUGUCAGUGAGGGAAACCACACAGAUCUCACGAGAAACAGGAUGAUUAUAGACGCGGACGGAAAUGUACAGAGAAGCGGGUGCGUGAAUUCAGCCGCCAUUUGACUUUGGUGACACAAAAGGAGGCUAGUGGCCAUCAGACUGAAAAGCAAACAAGUCGCCAAAGAGGAAACGACCCAAGCAGGCGACUCGGAGAAAAGGCCUGUGUGAUGGAGAGAUGCAGAGAUUAGCCCCAGCUCACAAAUUGAUCCGGUGCCCUCAACGUGGAGUCCCGAAAUAUAAAGUGCGAGGUGCCAUUACGUGACGUUCCUCCACGUGGCGAUGGCGUCCUCCGAGGGAACAAACAAAUCCCACACCGUGGAGGAAGGCAGGCCUGCAGGCAGGCAGGCAACGAGGGAAAACUAUAAUAAAUGAACACAAGGAAGGGUUAGCUACACAAGCUAAGGACACGGGGAAAAUGACAACGGUAACUGGAGCCAGGAUCACAAUAACGAUACCGCUCUUGCUGACUGAACGAUCUGACGACAAAUGGAUCUCAGACCGGUCUUCUUAUACUGAGGGGGGAAUGAUCGGUGAGGAUCUCCACCUGUCGCCACCUGCAGGGAGAAGCCACGCCCACCAACACACAGACAGACACCGAGCAGGGGAGAAGCCACGCCCACCAACACAGAGAGACACCGAGCAGGGGAGAAGCCACGCCCAC